GACGAACGCUGGCGGCGUGCCUAAUACAUGCAAGUAGAACGCUGAAGGAGGAGCUUGCUCUUCUGGAUGAGUUGCGAACGGGUGAGUAACGCGUAGGUAACCUGCCUGGUAGCGGGGGAUAACUAUUGGAAACGAUAGCUAAUACCGCAUAACAGUAGAUGUUGCAUGACAUUUGCUUAAAAGGUGCAAUUGCACCACUACCAGAUGGACCUGCGUUGUAUUAGCUAGUUGGUGGGGUAACGGCUCACCAAGGCGACGAUACAUAGCCGACCUGAGAGGGUGAUCGGCCACACUGGGACUGAGACACGGCCCAGACUCCUACGGGAGGCAGCAGUAGGGAAUCUUCGACAAUGGACGGAAGUCUGACCGAGCAACGCCGCGUGAGUGAAGAAGGUUUUCGGAUCGUAAAGCUCUGUUGUAAGAGAAGAACGAGUGUGAGAGUGGAAAGUUCACACUGUGACGGUAUCUUACCAGAAAGGGACGGCUAACUACGUG
rnacentral:rRNA from 1 species